UACGGGAGAUGCAAGCGUUGUUCGGAAUCACUGGGCUUAAAGCGCGUGUAGGCGGCUUGGUAAGUACCUUGUGAAAUCCCUCGGCUCAACCGAGGAAUAGCUUGGUAUACUGUCGAGCUUGAGGCAGGUAGGGGUCACUGGAACUCUAGGUGGAGCGGUGAAAUGCGUAGAUAUCUAGAGGAACGCCCGUGGCGAAAGCGGGUGACUGGGCCUGCCCUGACGCUGAGACGCGAAAGCGUGGGUAGCAAACGGG
rnacentral:rRNA from 1 species